rnacentral:rRNA from 1 species
ACGCUCGACACCUACGGGAAGCAGCAGUGGGGAAUAUUGCACAAUGGGGGAAACCCUGAUGCAGCAACGCCGCGUGAAGGAAGACGGUUUUCGGAUUGUAAACUUCUGUUCUUAGUGAAGAUAGUGACGGUAGCUAAGGAGCAAGCCACGGCUAACUACGUGCAGCAGCCGCGGUAAUCUGAGCGGGCUGGCAAGGC